CCUACGGGUGACUGCAGUCGAGAAUCAUUCACAAUGGGGGAAACCCUGAUGGUGCGACGCCGCGUGAGGGAAUGAAGGUCUCCGGAUUUUAAACCCCUGUCACGUGGGAGCAAGUUAAAAAGAUAGUACCACAAGAGGAAGAGACGGCCAACUCGGUGCCAGCAGCCGCGGUAAUACGGAGGUCUCAAGCGUUGUUCGGAAUCACUGGGCGUAAGGCGUGCGUAGGCUGUUUCGUAAGUCGUGUGUGAACGGCGGGGGCGCAACCCGCGGACGUCCGAUGAUACUGCAAGACUAGAGUAAGGGAGGGGGAACCGGAAUUCUCGGUGUAGCAGUGAAAUGCGUAGAUAUCGGGAGGAACACUCGUGGCGAAGGCGGGUUCCUGGACAUUAACUGACGCUGAGGCACGAAGGCGAGGGGAGCGAAAGGGAUUAGAUACCCUAGUAGUC
rnacentral:rRNA from 1 species